AAAACGACGCCGUUCAUUGUUCUCAGGGUUCUCUUGUCUUCUUCCCUACGAUCACCGGCCUUCAAUUUCUCGACUUCCUCCAUUCUUCCGGAAAAUGAAGCUCUUUUCGAUCUCCACUAGCCAGUGUUGGGGGUCUUGAAAGGGGUUGCAGCCCAUUAGUAAGGUAUAACUGAAUCUAAAUUAAAAUUAACCUGAUUCUCAAUUUUGUUGGAGAAUUUUGAAUUUAGCUUAUUUCUAUUGCACUUCUCCCUGCAGGUUUGCUCCAAAAGAACGAUUCUAUAAAAUGACGGGGAUUUCACUUCCUAAGAAUAUGUCCAUAAAUGCUUCAGGUACAAACCCUAAUAAAAUAAACAACUAUAAAGGUAUAAAUGCGAAGUACUAAUUCUAUGCAAUCAUGUGAUUGAGUUCUUGGAAGAUUCAGAUGUUAAUUUGAUGGAAGUAGGAAAAUAAAUUUGUGCAUGGAAAUAAUUUAGACACAAGUUUUAACAUUCAUUUUCACAUCUACCUUGGGUGGAGGAACAAGUGCUUUCAACCCUAAAACAUGGCUGGAUUGAAGGGAAGAUUAAAAAGAUAUGUAGUUGAAUCUUCCCGUGAAAUUAGUGCUUUGCAUAAUGAUAAUGCAUAAUGCUUGUCUCAAUCAUGAGUUAGUUUCUUUUGGGAAAUUAGGGUAGUGGAUCCGCAAUAAUGCCUUCCUCAACUGAGUUUCCUUGUUUGUGUUAUGUUAAUGAGCUGAAUUUUAGCUACAUAGAACCCUAACUAGCACCAAAUCAUUAUGUCAAAUCUUCUUCCUCUUAUUCUAAUAACAAAGUUAGGAAUUAGUAUGAAGUCAGUAGUUCAAAGCAGGAAAACAAUAUGCCAAGCCUUUUUCUUCUUAUUCUAGUAGCAAAACAGCAAUAUAGAUGAAACCGGGACUCCCAAGACACUAACUUGGUUAGGCGCAGGGUAGUACAAGCUCCUUUGAGAAGAGGGUAUGGACAUAGCUUUUAGCAACGGUAAGUAGAAAAAAUUCUUACUAGAUUACACUUUUUUCGCCAAAAAGGAACAAAAGAACUCUCAUCUGAAAUCUACACAGAUUUUGAAGGUGUGAGAUGCUAACAUAACUAUGUUUCUUUUACCGUAACUUUAUUUGAUUAGUUCUUUAACCAUAACUGUAUUCUUUUUGUCAUUGUGAUGUUGAGUUUCUUUUGGAACUCAUGGUUGAGCCUUCCACAGUGAGGAGAUGUCGGCCACGGCUUCUCCAACUGCCAGGUAGAGUCCAUUCAACCCAAAGGAAUCCAAUAUUUUUGACUGAUGUAG
rnacentral:lncRNA from 1 species